GCUGGGUGCCAUGGUGCACGCCUGUAAUCCCAGCAGCUCAGGAGGCUGAGGCAGGAGGAUUACCCAGACUCAGCAAUUUAGCAAAGCCCUAAGCAACUCAGUGAGACCCUGUCUCUA
rnacentral:sRNA from 1 species